rnacentral:rRNA from 1 species
CGCUGAAACAUCGGAUCUUCUUCGACCACCGGAGUUAAGCAACGUCGAGCCUGGUCACUACCUAGAUGGGUGACCAUUUCGGAAUACCUGAUGUCGUAGG